GAGAGGGAGCAUGCGGCCGACGGUGAUCAUUUCGGGAUCGCUGAGGAAAGUCCUCCCACCAUUCAGGUAACGCAGCCGUGUGCAAGCACGGGUGGCGAGAGUCACGGCUCUGGAACAGAAACGACACGUCCUUCGCGGAGCAAUGAGACGGCACCUAACCCGUCGAGCGCUGAGGCGAAGGGAUCGAUGGAACGGCGAAUCCCUGCGGGUGCAAGUCGAAACAGGAUCUGCGUGCGGCGCCUGAACGCCAUGAUCCGGGUACGACGCUAAGCCGAAUGCCGCAACGAACAGGAGGAGGCUUAUCACUCCGACUC
rnacentral:RNase_P_RNA from 1 species